UACGUAGGUGGCAAGCGUUGUCCGGAAUUAUUGGGCGUAAAGCGCGCGCAGGCGGUCCUUUAAGUCUGAUGUGAAAGCCCACGGCUCAACCGUGGAGGGUCAUUGGAAACUGGGGGACUUGAGUGCAGAAGAGGAGAGCGGAAUUCCAUGUGUAGCGGUGAAAUGCGUAGAUAUAUGGAGGAACACCAGUGGCGAAGGCGGCUCUCUGGUCUGUAACUGACGCUGAGGCUCGAAAGCGUGGGGAGCAAACAGG
rnacentral:rRNA from 1 species